CCUACGGGCGGCAGCAGUGGGGAAUAUUGGACAAUGGGCGAAAGCCUGAUCCAGCCAUGCCGCGUGUGUGAAGAAGGCCUUCGGGUUGUAAAGCACUUUCAGUGGGGAAGAAAGCCUUGGGGCUAAUACCCUCGAGGAAGGACAUCACCCACAGAAGAAGCACCGGCUAACUCCGUGCCAGCAGCCGCGGUAAUACGGAGGGUGCGAGCGUUAAUCGGAAUUACUGGGCGUAAAGCGCGCGUAGGCGGUCUGAUAAGCCGGUUGUGAAAGCCCCGGGCUCAACCUGGGAACGGCAUCCGGAACUGUCAGGCUAGAGUGCAGGAGAGGAAGGUAGAAUUCCCGGUGUAGCGGUGAAAUGCGUAGAGAUCGGGAGAAAUACCAGUGGCGAAGGCGGCCUUCUGGACUGACACUGACGCUGAGGUGCGAAAGCGUGGGUAGCAAACAGGAUUAGAUACCCUAGUAGUC
rnacentral:rRNA from 1 species